rnacentral:sRNA from 1 species
UCAAAUACUAAAACUUUCUAUUCAUAAAGGCCUUUUAUAGCAUAUGGAUCCCAGUAUGUAAUGAGACUGCAUUGUCUCACUCUUCCAAAAAUAAUGAAAAGUCUGAGCACACCGAUUAAUUUCAGACAUGAAGAAACUGAUUUCAUUAGUACUGAGAAAUCUUAAGCUACAGCUUGAGCUUCUCCACCAGAAGCCGGAAGCUGGAAACCGGAAACCGGAAGUCAGAAGCAGAGCACCUACUUACACACUCUGAAGAGGAAGGCACUGGGAGGAAUGUUCUAAAGAGGGACGCAGCCAAGAGGAAGUGAUCAGCAGGGGUCAACGAAAGGAAAGAUGCUGCGGUUCCUUCCGGAUCAUGGCUCUCAACCUCUUGUCUACGUCUUUGCAUCUAUAGCACUUUAACAAUGGGUGUGCCAAAUGAGGUUGACCAAAUCAACAGCUCUCAUAAAUUCCCAGCAUUUUUAUUGUCAUUGGUAGGGGAAUGAAAGAUGCAACUAUAAACCUGGAUGAGACAGCUCCUGAAAGCACAUUGAAGUUCCCUGCAAUAAUUUGGUUACUCCGAAAGGUCAGAUUCAUCAGAAGGCUCAGUCCUUAGCUGCUGGCUUCAUGCAGCCUGGAAAUAGCAUGGUGAAAUCCCACCACAGGAUCUCGUCACCCAGCUCAUGAAGGGGAAGACAUGGAGCUUCUGCUAUGUUUAUUAUUUCAAGUCCUUUAAACCAUAUUGCUCCUUGAAGGGUAGCAAUCUGAUGUGAGGUGUCUAUGAACCUUGUCAGUCAUCACUUGCUUUUUUUUUUAAACAAGUAUUUGUUUGUUUAUUCAUUUAUUUGUGUGUGUGCAUAUACAUGGGGCUCAGAAAACAACCAGCAGAAGUUGGUUCUCUCCUCUACCAAGUGGGGUCCAAAGGAUGAAAUCUAAGUCAUAGGACUUGGUGGAAAGGGUUCUUACCCAAUCAGCCGUGUCACCAGCCCCUGGCUGCUUGGUUUUUUAAGUAAAUUCUGUUACUAACAAUUAUCUGGGAUAUCUCAUUCUUUGAAUUAUCUUAAAACAGAAGCUUGGUUUGUGUUGUAAGCUGAACAUCCCCCCCCCACCACCCAGUAUAGAUUCAUAUACUGAAAUCUAAACUCUAAGGGUCUUGAAAUAUGUCUUAUUAAAAGUCUUUAGAGAGCCAGCUGACUUAAAGUUCAAUAGAAUGACUUCUGAUCCUAUUCAACUGUUAUUCUAGUAAGAGGAAAAUAGGAUGAAGGCACAAACUGAAAACCAUAAGACCAAUCAAGGGAAAAUGCCAACUCCAAGCAAAGGAAAGAAGCCUCAGAAGAACAUAAAUCUAGGAGCACCUGAAUCUCAAGGGCUAGCCCUCAGAACUGUGAGACAAUAGAGUUGCAUGACUGAAAUACAGUGUAGUACUUGGACAGUAGUUAUUUAUACACUGUCUUAAUCUCUAGGGCUGACCUAUGAUUCAUAUUCUAUGACCUUGGAUUCAAAGUCAUGUUCAAAACAUGUCUGUCUUCAAAAAUAUAUUCUAAGGGAUAUAGAUAUAUAGAGGGAUAGGGAUAUGUAGUGUAUAAAGACAGAGAUGGAGAUAUGGAUAUAUAAAGAUAGAGGUGGAGAUAAAUACAUAGCUAUUGUUAUCUUACAGUUCAGGAAGUUAGAAAUAAGCAAACCGGUGUGCCUGUAGAUCUCCUUUUUCCUUGAGGGUUCAGAGAAUAUCUUCUUCCCUUUUUUAGAUUAUCAAAGCUUCCCACCUUACUCAGUGUCUUAGUCACUGUUCUAUUGCU